rnacentral:rRNA from 1 species
UACGGAGGGUGCGAGCGUUGUCCGGAAUCACUGGGCGUAAAGGGCGCGUAGGCGGCCUGAUAAGUAGGGGGUGAAAUCCUGCGGCUUAACCGCAGGGCUGCCUUCUAAACUGUCAGGCUUGAGCACAGUAGAGGCAGGUGGAAUUCCCGGUGUAGCGGUGGAAUGCGUAGAGAUCGGGAAGAACACCAAUGGCGAAAGCAGCUUUCUGGGACGGUACUGGACGCUGAGAACGCGGAAAGCGUGGGGAGCGAACAGG